GAUCCUGGCUCAGAAUCAACGCUGGCGGCGUGCCUCAGACAUGCAAGUCGAACGAUUAAAGCUCUCUUCGGAGAGUGUAUAGAGUGGCGCACGGGUGAGUAACACGUAAGUAAUCUACCUUCGAGUGGGGAAUAACGUUCGGAAACGAACGCUAAUACCGCAUAAUGCAGCGGCAUCGCAAGAUGACAGUUGUUAAAGGAAUUUAUUUCGCUUGAAGAGGAGCUUGCGGCAGAUUAGCUUGUUGGUAAGGUAACGGCUUACCAAGGCUACGAUCUGUAUCCGGUCUAAGAGGACGGUCGGACACACUGACACUGAAUAACGGGUCAGACUCCUACGGGAGGCAGCAGUCGGGAAUUUUGGGCAAUGGGCGAAAGCCUGACCCAGCAACGCCGCGUGAAGGAUGAAGUAUUUCGGUAUGUAAACUUCGAAAGAAUAGGAAGAAUAAAUGACGGUACUAUUUAUAAGCUCCGGCUAACUACGUGCCAGCAGCCGCGGUAAUACGUAGGGAGCAAGCGUUGUUCGGAUUUACUGGGCGUAAAGGGCGCGUAGGCGGCGCGGUAAGUCACUUGUGAAAUCUCUGAGCUUAACUCAGAACGGCCAAGUGAUACUGCAGUGCUAGAGUGCAGAAGGGGCAAUCGGAAUUCUUGGUGUAGCGGUGAAAUGCGUAGAUAUCAAGAGGAACACCUGGGG
rnacentral:rRNA from 1 species